CCCGGCCCCCUUUGACGGGUCUAGUAGUUUCCGCGGCACCGGCGCCCCGCCCGCCCGGCCCCCCUCCCCCCCCGCGCGCACAGCCGGCCCGGCGCGUCCUACGCAGCAGCCGCGAGCAGCGCGGCCGGUGCCAGACGGUUCCCGGCGGGGUCCGGGCGGGGCGCUGCAGGAGGAGCGGCCUGCUGAGCGCCCAGUUGCCAUGGCGUCCUACUACGAGGUCCUGGACGUGCCCCGGAGCGCGUCCCCCGAGGACAUCAAGAAGGCGUACCGGAAGAAGGCGCUGCAGUGGCACCCAGACAAGAACCCAGAUAAUAAAGAGUUUGCGGAGCGGAAGUUCAAGGAAGUCGCUGAGGCCUAUGAAGUGCUCUCAGACAAGCAUAAGCGGGAACUCUACGACCGUUAUGGCCGGGAAGGGCUGACCGGGGCAGGAACUGGCCCAUCCCGGACGGAAGCAGGUGGCAGCAGCGGUGGGCCCGGCUUCACUUUCAGCUUCCGCAGCCCGGAGGAGGUCUUCCGGGAGUUCUUCGGGAGUGGAGACCCGUUUGCAGAGCUCUUUGAUGACCUGGGCCCCUUCUCGGAGCUGCAAAGCAGAGCCCCCCGACACUCAGGGCCCUUCUUUACCUUCUCUUCCUCCUUCCCUGGCCACUCUGAUUUCUCCUCCUCCUCGUUCUCCUUCAGUCCCGGGGCCGGUGCUUUCCGUUCUGUCUCCACGUCCACCACCUUUGUCCAGGGGCGCCGCAUCACGACUCGCAGAAUCACGGAGAACGGGCAGGAGCGGGUAGAAGUGGAGGAGGACGGGCAGCUCAAGUCAGUCACCAUCAAUGGCGUCCCCGAUGACCUGGCGCUGGGCUUGGAGCUGAGCCGUCGAGAGCAGCAGCCAGCGGUCAGCUCCCGGGCCACAAGCACUCAGGUGCGGCAGGCCCCUGCCCCUCGGCCCUCUGACAGUGACCUCUCUGAUGACGAGGACCUGCAGCUCGCCAUGGCCUACAGCCUGUCAGAGAUGGAGGCGUCUGGGAAGAAACCGGCAGGUGGGCGGGGGGCUCAGCACCGACGGCAGGGGCAGUACCAGGAUCGGGGUGUAGGUGGUGCCGAGCGUGCCAGGGGGGACCCGGCAAGGCCUAGCCCAUCCCCAGAGGAGAAGACCUCUCGCUGCCUUAUCUUCUGAUCAUCACCAGACCAAUUGGGGUGACUGGGGGGUCCUGCCUGUGGUUGGGAGAGCUGGGGCGGGGUGCCCUCUCUAGCACCAGACACCCUCUGCUGGGGGGUGGGGUAGGCCCACCCCCACUCUAGAGUGGACUCACCAUUUGCUGUGCUCAGCCCGGGUCGGAUAGGUGCCCAGGGCGGAGGCCUGCGUAGUCUUGUUAGGACUAAGAGUCGGGAAGGGCAUGCAUGGUGGGGGUCGGGCGCUUGGUGCCCAGGUCUUCGCCACCCACGUUGCUGAUGAUGGCAAGGAAGGAGGACUUGGCCCGGGGCUUCUCCACUGGGAAGUCUCCCGCUGUCCUGUCCAGCUUCACCGCUCCCCCCCCCCCCACCACGCUGGGUUUUGUUGCCGUCUGAGUUCUGACCUUCUGUCUGCUGCCUCCCUCCUGCUGCCAUGUAUCCUCUUUGUUCGCACUCUAUUCUCCCUAACCCCUGCGGGGCGCACUGCUUGCUUUCACUGCUGUCUGGCUGGGACUCCCUUCUUUCUCCCCUCUGCCCGAGAAGGUCUCAGUGUGGCCUGUAAGGCCGGCAGGUCUUCAGGGAGAGGCUAGCUGGGUGGGGCGGGAGCCUCUCAGCCGUCCAGAUCUGGAGCCGGAGCCCACUCCUCCUCCCUUCCUCUUGCGGCCUCAGCCUGCCCCAGGCCUCGGGACUAGGCAGAGAUGUGUUCUGAGCUGGAUGUCCGGGAUGCAGAGUCGCUGCACAGCUCCAACAGGACAGCGCCCUCCUCCCCCUCACCCGCACAGAGCUGGGGGGCGGGUGGGAGGCCUCUGGUAGUCUUAGCGUGUGAAUUCUUUACUGGGUCUUUGGUGCUGUCUCAGAGACUACAGGUCCCAGAAUGCAGCGCACGACACCUCACUUCUGCGAGUUCCUGCUUAAGGGGCAGCGGUGCCUGGUUGUGGCGCUAUGCAUCUUGGGACAUGUAGUUUUAGCCCAGGCCAACCUGCUUGCUGAGAGCCGGAGGGCGUCUUGUCAUUUUGUUCCUGGCAAGGGUGACGAGAAAGUGGGUGAAGGGCCAUGAGUCUGAGCCUUGGUAUCCCCUGAGACCUUUUACUGGUGCCCGGGGCUGAGCACGCACUUCAAAUCCUGCACCACUGGGGAGAAGCUAUUUCCUGUGGCAGCCCUGUGUUGGACUUGGGAUGGAAUCAGCAUGAAGUGACCCCAGGAAGCUGAUGGGCCUGGACUGGCAGAGAGCUCAGAGGGGAAGGCCGCCUCCGUGUGUGUGUGUGUGUGUGUGUGUGUGUGUGUGUGGCAGGACUGGCAUGUGAUGGGAGCUCCAGGCAUGUUGCUGCUUGUAUGGCUUUUUAUUUUAUUUUGGCCUUGGACCCUGCUGUCUGUUCUUUCUCUACAACACCAUAGAUGAAUGGCCUCUCCUCCCUGCCUGCGGAGCCCUGUGGCCCAGCCCAGGGAGGGGAGGGGCAGAGCCAGGUGUUGGCAGCCUCUGUGACAGUGAGUCUCAGAGACUCUACCAAAGCCAGCUGGGCUGAGCUCAGAUCGAGAGGGAAACACUGGAAACUAAUAAAACUGAGUUUUAUUGAGUG